rnacentral:rRNA from 1 species
CCUACGGGAGGCAGCAGUGGGGAAUAUUGGGCAAUGGGCGCAAGCCUGACCCAGCAACGCCGCGUGAAGGAAGAAGGCUUUCGGGUUGUAAACUUCUUUUCUCAGGGACGAAGAAAGUGACGGUACCUGAGGAAUAAGUCACGGCUAACCACGUGCCAGCAGCCGCGGUAAUACGUAGGUGGCAAGCGUUAUCCGGAUUUACUGGGGGUAAAGGGCGGGUAGGCGGGACUGCAAGUCAGAUGUGAAAACCACGGGCUCAACCUGUGGCCUGCAUUUGAAACUGUAGUUCUUGAGUACUGGAGAGGCAGACAGAAUUCCUGGUGUAGCGGUGAAAUGCGUAGAGAUUAGGAGGAACACCAGUGGCGAAGGCGGUCUGCUGGACAGCAACUGACGCUGAGGCGCGAAAGCGUGGGGAGCAAACAGGAUUAGAUACCCUGGUAGUC